AUUGAACGCUGGAGGCAGGCCUAACACAUGCAAGUCGAACGAGUGGCGGACGGGUGAGUAAUGUCUGGGAAACUGCCUGAUGGAGGGGGAUAACUACUGGAAACGGUAGCUAAUACCGCAUACCAUCGGAUGUGCCCAGAUGGGAGUAGCUAGUAGGUGGGGUAACGGCUCACCUAGGCGACGAUCCCGAGCUGGUCUGAGAGGAUGACCAGCCACACUGGAACUGCAACACGGUCCAGACUCCUACGGGAGGCAGCAGUGGGGAUGAUUGUACAAUGGGCGAAAGCCUGAUGCAGCCAUGCCGCUUGUAUGAAGAAGGCCUUCGGGUUGUAAAGGACUUUCAGCGGGGAGGCGUUACCCGCAGAAGAAGCACCGGCUAACUCCGUGCCAGCAGCCGCGGUAAUUC
rnacentral:rRNA from 1 species